UACGUAGGGGGCAAGCGUUGUCCGGAUUUAUUGGGCGUAAAGAGCGUGUAGGCGGUUCGGUAGGUCCGUUGUGAAAACUCGAGGCUCAACCUCGAGACGCCGAUGGAAACCCUCGAACUAGAGUCCGGAAGAGGAGAGUGGAAUUCCUGGUGUAGCGGUGAAAUGCGCAGAUAUCAGGAAGAACACCCGUGGCGAAAGCGGCUCUCUGGAACGGUACUGACGCUGAGACGCGAAAGCGUGGGGAGCGAACAGG
rnacentral:rRNA from 1 species